CACUGCAGAUGGCAAGAACUUUGGACGCAGCUUGAAAUAGAAAAGCUCACCCAACGUUCAUGACAGACUGACAGCCAAUUAUCAGCAUCUCUUUUCUUCACAAAUUCCUUUUUUGUACAUCUUCCAUUCCGAUUUGGGACUUAAAAAGGAGGCCAUUUUUCCAGACAGUGAUUUCUUCCAAUAUCUCAUCUCCCGGUGCCUUUUUCAUGCGUGUGUGCAUUUUUUUUUUUUUUAAACUGAGGCAGGAUCUCCCAUGGGGUUACAGUCUUGCAAGCCUUACAACUGCUGCCUACAAAGCAAAGAGGAAUGCAGACUGACUGGUGUCUGCCCCUAUGUUUGUGAGGAUUGGAGAUAUUGCUCUGACCGCUGUUGUGACGUCUGCUGCCAGAUGUGCGUGGACCUGUGCUCUUGCUUGUGUUCAGGAGACUGCAGCUACACUUUCUGCACAGUCUGUCUCGCUCUGGCGCAGAACUGCCUUUUACUUUUCACCGCCCGACAAAGUGAAACAUCAGAGGCACGGCCUGCAACCCCAGAACAGCUUGCAUAGCUGAGAGUCGGAAACAAAAGCAUGACCACAAGCCUCGAAAUAACUCACAGCCUGUGACUAUAAAAGAGGGCUCUGCACCGCAAGGAGGCAGUCUGAGUUUAGACUCUCAACAGAUCAUGAUGGCGAUGGACUUCUGAGCUGCUACGAAGGGUGAAUUACAAGUUGUAAGCAAAAGGAGAGAGCACGAACUCAAAGUUAGCAUGACCCACAGACGACCUGCACACAUCAAAAUGAGACUGCGAAGACGAGGCAUGAGCUGCAGGUCUGAUGAGGUUGGAGAUGAGAAGGCCAGAAGAUUUGACAACAGGUGUAAAAAUAGCUGUCUUCCCAGUGCUGGGGAGUGCAUACACAUGUGAAUUUGCAACUUCACAUGAUCCCGUGUGUCACAGAGAAAGUCUUAUAACCACUUUCUAUCUUUCUGCAGAAUAAAAUUCACAGCUAGGUGCCAUGAUAUGAUGGAAUGAAAGUGGUAUUAUAAAUGUCUUUUUGCUUUGUCUUUCCAGAUCAGUGGUCCUUACAAUGAGCUCAGGAUUAUUGUUGUCAUCAUGGCUGAACAAAAAGCUGCUGAACAGAAGUGAGAUUUUCCUUAUCUGAUGAAAAUGACAUUCUUUUCCCGAAUCAUACCCAAGUGAUGGCAGAGACUGGAUGUUGGACUUUUAUUGCUUUGUUUCCACCUCAUCACUGUAAAAUCUUGUUUGAAAAAGGAUUUAAAUCUGAGCUUUUGUAUUACGAAUAUGAAUACAUUUUCUUUUGUUUCAAAACUAACAUACUAUAAAAAUAUACUACUUAAUAUAGAGUGCAUAUAUGUGUUUUUUAUUUUUUAUAGGGGAGAUUAAAGUGUCUACAGACUGAGGUUUUUACCCACAUUCUACUUCAGAGCACUCAAAUUUCAGCUGGAGUGAGCAGCACUUUGAAGAAAACAAAAACAUAAUUUGGUUUCACACUCACAAUAUUAUAUCUUUUAAAGAGGAAAGAGUGCCUCAGGCCAUGGGGCACCAUUUCUCUUCCUCUGAACUAAACCUUUUUAUUAUCCUUCACAAAAUAGCUAGUUUAUGGUAAUUUCACUGAUUGGAUGAGCCAUGCCCCGAGCAUCAAAAGAGGCAGGGACUGAGGAAAAUCUAACAUAUACAGAGUGAUGUAUAUAAAACUGGAUAGUGUCCUCACGCAUCCACCUGUUUUCUCCUCUUUCUUGUUCUUUUGGGCUUUGAAGUGCAUUUGGUCUGGCCUACUGCUAAAGGUCCCUUUAAAAUUCAGCAGAUUCACCACAUGGCCUGCUCCUUCCUUCAAGUGACCUUGUGUAUUUUGCAUUUUUAGUAACUGGUAGUUGAAAGAAAUCUUGGAUUGAUAUUUUUUACUAGUUUUUAGGAAUCACUUUUCAAAGCAAGUUUCAAAAGUGUGCAUAGCCUUGCACAUGAGGGUUAUUACUCUCACAAUAAAUUUAGUCAUUUGAAAUGGGACCAUAAGCCUAAAACAGCAUUCUCUUGUCUAUAGUUAACUGGCAAAUGUAUUUGAUAGUUAACUAUAGUUAAUACUUUGCAAAAUACUAAUAAAACACUUUACAUAUUUUUGCAUUUUGUCUUGUUACAACCACAAUCUCCAGUGGUUUGUAACUGUACUUUAUACAUCAAGUCAAAAAUAGUGCAUUAUUUUGAAGUAAAGACUGUUGACUGCUAUGGUCAAAGUAUUUCAUCACAGUCCCAGCUACAAAUCUUUUUGUGUAUGUCUGUACGAACAUUGCACAUGUAGAACCAUUCUGACAUUAUUCUUUGUAAAAUGGCAUUGCUUUUUAAGAUUUUCUAUGUCUUUAAUUAAACAUUACAUGUGCCA